GUCACUUUUUUUUCUUUCCAGAGCUGAGGACCGAACCCAGGGCCUUACGCUUGCUAGGCAAGUGCUCUACCGCUGAGCUAAAUCCUCAACACCACUGUCUCUUCUGAUGGACACUUUGGCCCACAGAAUGCUGGAGAGAACCCAUAGUUGGAACUACUCAUGCUGCAGAAGGGGAAACUGAGGCACAAGGAGUCAGGGAACUCUCUGAUAAGUACUAAGUCCUUUACCCUCCUGUUUUUCCAAAGCUGGGAUUUAGAUAGAAAUCUUUGGUUGUAUUAGCCCUGCCCCUUUAGAUGGAAGUCGAUAUCAUUCACAGUCACUGCAAGGCCAGAGGAUGUCUGCAGCAUGGGAUGAAAGUCACACAUAUGAAGAACUAAAGUCAAAAGAUGAUGUAAUGAAACAAGAUGCGGUGGGUGCCGUUAGAAGUCACAACACUGUGAUAUUUGAAGAUAGCACCGUCUGGAUUUUUUCCCCUCCUCUCCAUAUCAGGACUUGCCUAUAAUGAGCAAUAGCUCAGCCCGUGUCUGUCUUCACUAUCUCCCCUUCACCCCCACCCCCAACCAGCGUUUAUGAAAGUAGCAAUUGCUUCUGAGAAAAAGAAAAUCGCUGGAGCUUGAAGCUCCUGCUGGAAGCCACUGCUUGCCUCAGUCUGUGGAAACCCAGACACUAGAAAUCGGAGUUUUGCCGCGCUUCACCUUGCCAACGUGUGCUCGGGAGUUUUAUUUUUAUAAGGUCAGAGAGUUCUCUGCAAGACUCAGCACACUGGCUGGAGAGGGAUGGCUGCAUGCCACCCCCCCCUCUUUCUGUGUGUGUAUGUGAGCUGUGUGGGCAGGUGUGAGUUGUGUAGCUGUUUACACAGGCUACACACACCUGAAUCUCCUGGGUUAGGCCCCCUUUUGUUAGUUAUUGGCACCAUUUCGCCCCUGAGUCUCUAGAGGCUCUCCUUUCUUUCUAUCUGGCUGGCCCUCACCUUGGCCUGGACACUGCCUUCUGUCUGUCUUUACUCCCUGUGCCAUGGAAGGUGUGACGCUGUGAUUUCCCCACCCUCAGUUUUCCUCCUGGUGUGAAUCUGUGACCCUUGCUACUUCCCACCAGCUUUCUUCCUGGCACCCCAGCAAGUGGCUCCCUGACCUUGGCUGCUCAUUAGAAUCUUGAGAUCCUGUGUUGAAUAAAACAGAACACACAUCAUGGGGUCUAGUCA
rnacentral:lncRNA from 1 species